UUUUUUUUUUUUCUUGUGAUUUUAGUGGCCUUUGUUUUUGUUAUUUUUCAAAGGUAAGCAGGCAGGAAAUGGAGUGGAGAAGACAUGCAGCAUAGGUCUCCGGGGACUCUAACCUGAUAAUGAAGCCUCUGUAUAGGUAAAAAAGGCCAGCUCUCAGGAGAGGAGACCCUGAGGACGAAGUGGCAGCCAUGUGACAGAAGACAGCAGAGACUUGACACAGCAGGACGGAGCGCUGCCCCAGGGCUUCUACAGAGGUUGGUCAGAGAGGCAUCAGGACAUCGUCAUUUCAGACUCAACUUGAGGAGUCAUUUGACCAGCCAGUGUGCCAGUCUCCCAUACCGCAGUAAACAAAUGACUAGCUGUCCUGUUUCAUACACACACCCACAGACAGACAGACAAACAGAGAGAGACAGAGACACACACAAAUGAUUGCAUGUGUCAUCGUAUUCUAGCCAGAAGGGUAAGAUGAUAUUAUGAUGCAUUUCGUUUUGCUUUCAUUUAUGAAAUCAGGUUCACUGGCUGCCUUUUCUCUCUGACAUUUCUCUGCAAUUUAAACUGGUGGUCACUUGAGGUUAUGAUAACAUGAGAUUAGGCUUUG